rnacentral:lncRNA from 1 species
CAGAGAGGGACUUCCCUGGUGGACCAGUGGUUAGGACUCCCGAACUUCCACUUCAGGGAGCAACUGGUCAGGGAACUAAGAUCCCGCAAGCCGCGUGGCACGGCCAAAAAAAUAAUAACAACAAAAAUAACACAGAGAAAUAAAUCAAAAUGCUACUAGGUAGGAUGGAAACUUACUAAUGCUUCCCGCGUUUUCCUAUUUUUCUGCAAUUGGCCUGUAUCCCUUUAAUAACAGGAAAUGUUACAAAAAUGAAAGGCGCCUGCGCGAGCACACACGUGACUUCUCCCGGGUAUGAGGAACUCCUUAUCGCGUUCUUCCUUCAGACGGCUGCCUCCUGGUCCAGUCUUGUGCCCAGAAGAUGGUUUUUCUUGGCUCUGGGACUAAAUGGAGUGAACACCUGGUCCAGAUUUGCUUGGCUCUUUCUUCUCUAAGCAACUAAUUCCUGAUGGAAAAUAUGCCUACACCACUUAGACUCACACCAAAGACCAGGGAGAGCUUCCAUUUAUCCUGUCGCUUUGAUUUCACUUCUGCCUCCUGAAGGUGUAGUCAGCCCAGGCAAGCCUCAUCCGGUGCUUCACGACACAGAAGAGAGUUUGGCCUGGCUGACUGCAUGAUUAUCACAGUGCAACAGAACCUUGGCAGUAGCCUUUUAAGCAGGGUGCUGUGUUUCUGAAGACUGCAUCGCAAAAGAGAAACUCAGAGCCGCACCAAGAUUCAACCUGCAACACGUGCGGGUGACCAGCCCGGCGUACACCCACUUUUCUAUGCCAAGUUACUCUUCUCAUCUGCGACUGGCCUACUUACUUUCAUUCUGCCUCCUUCUCCCAUACUCCUCAGUCUAGCCUGUUCCAUGAGCUGCCACACCCUGAUUCUAUCUGAUGUUUUCAUCCCUCACUUCAACCAGUGGAGCUGGUAGAAGUCGGCUCCUACUGGCUCAAGAAAGCGAUUGUGCAUUGUUCUUCCCAAUGUCACGUUCAAAAAUAUGACAUUGGUGGCUUGCAGUCGGGCAUGGUAAGGGUAAUUACGUCACAGAAAUCAGCAAAUCCUACAGUUAGGGCUUCUCCCCCCUCCAGAGAGCCAGUUGUUAAACAUUUACUACCAUCCAACUGACUUUACUCCUUUUCAAAAGUUAAAUCAAAUAAG